AAUCAACGCUGGCGGCGUGCCUCAGACAUGCAAGUCGAACGCGAAAGUCCCCUUCGGGGGAGUGAUUAGAGUGGCGCACGGGUGAGUAACACGUAGGUAAUCUACCUUCGAGUGGGGAAUAACUCAGGGAAACUUGAGCUAAUACCGCAUAAUGCAGCGGCACCACAUGGUGACAGUUGUUAAAGCAUUUAUGCGCUUGAAGAGGAGCCUGCGGCAGAUAGCUAGUUGGUAAGGUAAUGGCUUACCAAGGCUACGAUCCGUAACCGGCCUGAGAGGGCGGACGGUCACACUGACACUGAAUAACGGGUCAGACUCCUACGGGAGGCAGCAGUCGGGAAUUUUGGGCAAUGGGCG
rnacentral:rRNA from 1 species